rnacentral:rRNA from 1 species
GACGAACGCUGGCGGCGUGCUUAACACAUGCAAGUGGAGCGACGAACCAGGCUUCGGCCUGGGGCAGAGCCGCGAACGGGUGAGUAACACGUGGGUAACGUGCCCCGAUGACCGGGACAACCCGGGGAAACCCGGGCUAAUACCGGAUGUUCCCUCCUCACAUCAGUGAGGCGGGCAAAGGAAGCUUCGGCCUCCGCAUCGGGAUCGGCCCGCGGCCCAUUAGCUUGUUGGUGAGGUAAAGGCUCACCAAGGCUGCGAUGGGUAGCUGGUCUGAGAGGACGAUCAGCCACACUGGGACUGAGACACGGCCCAGACUCCUACGGGAGGCAGCAGUGGGGAAUCUUGCGCAAUGCACGACAGUGUGACGCAGCAACGCCGCGU